rnacentral:rRNA from 1 species
UACGUAGGGGGCAAGCGUUGUCCGGAUUCAUUGGGCGUAAAGAGCUCGUAGGCGGUUCAGUAAGUCGGGUGUGAAAGCUCCGAGCUCAACUCGGAGAGGCCACCCGAUACUGCUGUGACUUGAGUCCAGUAGAGGAGCGUGGAAUUCCUGGUGUAGCGGUGAAAUGCGCAGAUAUCAGGAAGAACACCAAUGGCGAAGGCAGCUCUCUGGGACGGUACUGACGCUGAGACGCGAAAGCGUGGGGAGCGAACAGG